AGGGUUGUAGUUAAUUAUAACAUUUACAUUGCAAGUAAAAAUUAUUGAAAAAUCUUCCUUA
rnacentral:tRNA from 1 species